CAGCAGCCGCGGUAAUACAGAGGGUGCGAGCGUUAAUCGGAUUUACUGGGCGUAAAGCGCGCGUAGGUGGUUUAUUAAGUUGGAUGUGAAAGCCCUGGGCUCAACCUGGGAACUGCAUCCAAAACUGGUGAGCUAGAGUACGGUAGAGGGUAGUGGAAUUUCCUGUGUAGCGGUGAAAUGCGUAGAUAUAGGAAGGAACACCAGUGGCGAAGGCGACUACCUGGACUGAUACUGACACUGAGGUGCGAAAGCGUGGGGAGCAAACAGGAUUAGAGACCCCUGUAGUCCCUGUCUCUUAUAC
rnacentral:rRNA from 1 species